UCCAACUGACAGCUGGGCCUCAUCUGUCAUUCUCGCACUCCCAACGAAGCGCUUGCCUUCGCCGACCUCCACUCCAAGCUCUCCGCCCGGUCGUGCCCGGCCGACCUCUGGCCGCUACUCUACCUGCUCGACUCGCUCUCCUCCCAUCGCCGCGCCGCCGCCGCUGUGACUGCUCGCCGACCUACAUCUCAAGCUCCGCCCUCUCUUCCGCUUCGACUUCGCCUCGUGAGGCGGCUCCAGGUUUGCUCUUAUGAUUGUAGACGGUGCCACAGCAAGGCAAAUGCUAAGUUCUUGAGGAGCCUCCAGAAGGUGUAGCAGACGUCAAGGAUUGAGAUGAAUAGAUCAUCUGUCUCAGCUUACUGCAGAGCAUGUUUUUCUUCUACUUUGUCUGUAAUUUGUAUAAAGCAACAACAGAAUACAAAUAUAUGACUUGAGAUGAAUAGAUCAUCUGUCUCAGCUUGUGAAUC